GGAAGGUAAAGUUUGAACAAAUAUCAAAUUAUGAAAUCAUAAUUUCACAAGUACAAUGACUUCAAUACGGAGAAUUAUAGAAACUGAACUCAUCAAGUUUAAAUUCCGGAUCUGCCUCUGAACCUGCCUCUACCUGCCUCCGAGUCUACUCGAGACCAGUGCAUCUGAAGUCUACUCAUCGAACGUACUCAUAAAUCCACCAAGAAAUCCAGCACCAUUGCAAUCACCACACAAUAUAUCUUUCUUACCUCUGCACAGCCAACAUAGUCCACCGGCUUUAAACCGUCCGUUGAAAUGAUCGACGGAGUUAACCCCAGCGCCUUUACAUUGUGAGCACGCCACUGCACCAUUUCCAUCACACUUUUGACAGACUAUGCUCUUUACUUUUGUUUCUUUAUCACUGUCAGCGGCCUUCACUUCUACGACUCUUAAGUUACUCUUGGAGUUGAAGGUUACAUCUUUGAUCAAUUGAAUCUUUCUUCCAGCGCAAUUCCCAUUUCGAUUAAUUAAACCUGGUUUAUUGAAAGAGUUCAAUGAAGCUAUAGGGGUGAAACACAGAGAAUUUGCCAUU
rnacentral:misc_RNA from 1 species